AUUGAACGCUGGCGGCAUGCCUUACACAUGCAAGUCGAACGGCAGCACGGGAGCAAUCCUGUGGCGAGUGGCGAACGGGUGAGUAAAGUAUCGGAACGUACCUUUCAGUGGGGGAUAACGUAGCGAAAGUUACGCUAAUACCGCAUAUUCUGUGAGCAGGAAAGCAGGGGAUCGCAAGACCUUGCGCUGAUUGAGCGGCCGAUAUCAGAUUAGCUAGUUGGUGAGGUAAAGGCUCACCAAGGCGACGAUCUGUAGCGGGUCUGAGAGGAUGAUCCGCCACACUGGAACUGAGACACGGUCCAGACUCCUACGGGAGGCAGCAGUGGGGAAUUUUGGACAAUGGGCGCAAGCCUGAUCCAGCCAUGCCGCGUGAGUGAAGAAGGCCUUCGGGUUGUAAAGCUCUUUCGGCCGGGAAGAAAUCGCAUGGGCUAAUACCCUGUGCGGAUGACGGUACCGGCAUAAGAAGCACCGGCUAACUACGUGCCAGCCGCCGCUGUAA
rnacentral:rRNA from 1 species